UCCGAAUAAACAAAAUUAAGGAAUGAAUAACUGUAACAGUAAGUAUAUGGUCAAGUUGUUCAAGGGGGCAGAGAGGAAAACCCACACAAUAUGAGCUAUGUAAUGGAGGUGAGACGGGCAAGCGCCAUCAAGUUAUGUUACUACUUCCCGUGGCCUGUACUAUCAGCAGAAUGGAUCUGAAGGAAUUGUGAAUCGUUAACUUGAAGGAGUCCACAUACUACCAACAGAAUCUUUCACGUAAAAGUUAAUCAUUUGUUGUUUGUCAAAUGAUGGAAUUUACACCUAAAAAAUAUAUGAUCAAGGGAUUUAAGAUUCAACCAAGUGAAAGUCCGAGGACUUAGAGAAAAGGAAGAAUGUGCCAGGGAGCUUUGCUUCUGGAGCUCAAUGCAUCAUUUCGCUUCCAACAGUAAUAAUGCUGCUGUGACCUGCAUUAUGUAUAGAGAUUUGAUGAGGAUUAUCAAUACUAGUAACUAGGAAGCAACAUACGAUCAAAUAACAUUUUUGAAAUUUUACACUUACUUGAAACACGUGAAUUUACGUUAUUGGAUGAUACUAUAACUCUUACAGGGAGAAACGGACAAAAUGUACUAGACAGAAACUAUAG
rnacentral:lncRNA from 1 species